GAUGAAGAACGUAGCGAAAUGCGAUAAGUAAUGUGAAUUGCAGAAUUCAGUGAAUCAUCGAGUCUUUGAACGCACAUUGCGCCCCCUGGUAUUCCGGGGGGCAUGCCUGUCCGAGCGUCAUUGCUGCCCUCAAGCACGGCUUGUGUGUUGGGCCCCCGUCCCCGGUUUCCCCCGGGGACGGGCCCGAAAGGCAGCGGCGGCACCGCGUCCGGUCCUCGAGCGUAUGGGGCUUUGUCACCCGCUCUGUAGGCCCGGCCGGCGCCAGCCGACACCCAACUUUAUUUCUAAGGUUGACCUCGGAUCAGGUAGGGAUACCCGCUGAACUUAAGCAUAUCAAUAAGCGGAAGGA
rnacentral:misc_RNA from 1 species